UAGACAGCGUGUAGCAGAGCUGACUGCUUGUUACUAUGGCUACUCCGUACGUUUAUCCCUUAGGUUGUAUUUUUGUUUCCCCUCUCGGUUAGCUUGUAAUUUUCUGGAGUCAUUUUCAGGAGUCAUUUGAAUACUAGGGGACAGAUGUCACCGAUUGAGCUGGCCCCCCUCCCACUGCCCCGCCUCUUCCCUCCCCUAUCAAAGGCCUGGGAGUGCCGGAGUACACAUCAAUCAUUCUGAGUGACAGGUUCUGUUCAGAUUCAGAGCCGAGAUGCAGUGGUAGCAAACGAUAGCACGUGGCACAUGCCAUUCAUUGGGGACACAAGUCUGCGUCUGGCCUGUGUCAUUUCCUGAUCCCAUUUGCUCCAUUCUUUUCUUUCUACUUUCUACUAUCAUCUCCUGUUCUGUCCAUUACAUACAUAAAAAAGGCGUAAAAUGUCUAAAUAAAAACACAGGUUCAGUAGCAGUCCAGCGGCUGUAUAUCCCAUCAGACAUCAGUGAUGAGCCACUGGGCACAGCUGGUAGUCAGA